CAUGUAGGCGGUUUUUUAAGUUCCGGAGUGAAAAUAGCGGGGCGUCAACCCCGUACUGGCUCUGGAUACUGGAAGACUUGAGUGCAGGAGAGGAAAGGGGAAGUUCCCAGUGUAGCGGUGAAAUGCGUAGAUAUUGGGAGGAACACCAGUGGCGAAGGCGCCUUUCUGGACUGUGUCUGACGCUGAGAUGCGAAAGCCAGGGUAGCAACG
rnacentral:rRNA from 1 species